GUGCUUGCUUCGGCAGCACAUAUACUAAAAUGGGAAUGAUAUAGAGAUUAGUAUGGCCGUCAUGCAAAGAUGACAUGCAAAUUUGUGAAGCAGUCCAUAUUUUA
ensembl:snRNA U6 U6 spliceosomal RNA